AUUGAACGCUGGCGGCAUGCCUUACACAUGCAAGUCGAACGGCAGCACGGGUGCUUGCACCUGGUGGCGAGUGGCGAACGGGUGAGUAAUACAUCGGAACGUACCUUAUCGUGGGGGAUAACGCAGCGAAAGCUGUGCUAAUACAGCAUACGCCCUGAGGGGGAAAGCGGGGGAACGAAAGACCGCGCGCGAUUAGAGCGGCCGAUGCAUGAUUAGCUUGUUGGUGGGGUAAAAGCCCACCAAGGCGACGAUCAGUAGCUGGUCUGAGAGGACGAUCAGCCCCACUGGGACUGAGACACGGCCCAGACUCCUACGGGAGGCAGCAGUGGGGAAUUUUGGACAAUGGGGGAAACCCUGAUCCAGCCAUGCCGCGUGAGUGAAGAAGGCCUUCGGGUUGUAAAGCUCUUUUGUCCGGGAGGAAAUCCCGCAACCCAAUACGUUGCGGGGAUGACAGUACUGGAAGAAUAAGCACCGGCUAACUACGUGCCAGCAGCCGCGGUAAUAC
rnacentral:rRNA from 1 species